rnacentral:rRNA from 1 species
CACGUAGGAGGCGAGCGUUGUCCGGAAUCAUUGGGCGUAAAGAGCGCGCAGGCGGCCUGGCAAGUCGGGUGUGAAAUCCCGGGGCUCAACCCCGUGACUGCAUCCGAUACUGUCAGGCUAGAGGUAGGUAGGGGAGAUCGGAAUUCCUGGUGUAGCGGUGAAAUGCGCAGAUAUCAGGAGGAACACCGGUGGCGAAGGCGGAUCUCUGGGCCUUACCUGACGCUCAGGCGCGAAAGCUAGGGGAGCGAACAGG